rnacentral:rRNA from 1 species
AUUGAACGCUGGCGGAAUGCUUUACACAUGCAAGUCGAGCGGCAGCGCGGGGCAACCUGGCGGCGAGCGGCGAACGGGUGAGUAAUGCAUCGGAACAUGUCCAUGUCGUGGGGGAUAGCCCGGCGAAAGCCGGAUUAAUACCGCAUACGCCCGAGAGGGGAAAGUGGGGACCGCAAGGCCUCACGCGAUUGGGUUGGCCGAUGUCCGAUUAGCUAGUUGGCGGGGUAANGGCCCACCAAGGCGAUGAUCGGUAGCUGGUCUGAGAGGAUGAUCAGCCACACUGGGACUGAGACACGGCCCAGACUCCUACGGAGGCAGCAGUGGGAAUUUGGACGAUGGGGGCAACCCUGAUCCAGCCAUUCCGCGUGAGUGAAGAAGG